UACGUAGGGGGCUAGCGUUGUCCGGAAUCAUUGGGCGUAAAGAGCGUGUAGGCGGCCCGGUAAGUCCGCUGUGAAAGUCGGGGGCUCAACCCUCGAAUGCCGGUGGAUACUGUCGGGCUAGAGUGCGGAAGAGGCGAGUGGAAUUCCUGGUGUAGCGGUGAAAUGCGCAGAUAUCAGGAGGAACACCGAUUGCGAAGGCAGCUCGCUGGGACGUUAUUGACGCUGAGACGCGAAAGCGUGGGGAGCAAACAGG
rnacentral:rRNA from 1 species